AACGGCCGUACCAUGCUGAAUAUACCGGUUCUCGUUAGAUCACCGAAGUUAAGCAUCAUUGGGCGCGGUCAGUACUUGGAUGGAUGACCACCUGGGAACACUGCGUGCCGUU
rnacentral:rRNA from 1 species